rnacentral:tRNA from 1 species
GGGUCAGUGGUCUAGCCUGGUAUGACGCCAGUCUCACACGCUGGAAGUCGGGAGUUCAACUCUCCCCUGACCCA